ACAUGCAAGCGAACGGUAACAGGCCUUCGGGCGCUGACGAGUGGCGGACGGGUGAGUAACGCGUAGGAAUCUGCCUUAUAGUGGGGACAACGUGGGGAAACCCACGCUAAUACCGCAUACGCCCUACGGGGGAAAGGAGGGGAUCUUCGGACCUUUCGCUAUGAGAUGAGCCUGCGUUAGAUUAGUUAGUUGGUAGGGUAAAGGCCCUAACCAAGGCGACGAUCUAUAGCUUGGUCUGAGAGGACAGUCACGCCACACUGGGACUGAGACACGGCCCAGACUCC
rnacentral:rRNA from 1 species